GGUUGCGAUCAUACCAGCACUAAUGCACCGGAUUCCAUCAGAACUCCGCAGUUAAGCAUGCUUGAGCGAGAGUAGUACUAGGAUGGGUGACCCCCUGGGAAGUCCUCGUGUUGCAACCC
rnacentral:rRNA from 1 species